CGCAGAUCUGAUUAUUUGUGACAUAUCUGUGUGACUCGGAGACUCCAGGAGCCUUAUACAGGGGAAUUACAGUGCAUACCUACGGAUGGAGCAGGACUUUCACCUCGGUAGAUCAUUGGUCUUCUGGGAAACAGCCUAUGGCUUGCUGCAUGGACAUGUGACCAGCUACGUGGGCGUGUGACCACCAAGUGAACACCAAGGGGCUGAUUAUAAACUGAUCGUCAUCUGGACCCCCAAAUCAGUGACUUGCCCAUGAGUAUAGGUUAACUGUGCUUCCAGCUCAUGGGGAAGUCCUCCCUUUGCUAUCUUUUUUUUUUUUUUCUUUUUUCUUUUAAAAAUAGAAUAGAGUUUAUUCAGGGCAUUUAUUCCAGCCCUGGAAGAGGUUCCUUGUUCUCCUGGAAGAGGUGUUUGCUUUAGGUCUGGAUUGGUUCUCCUUGACCCUGGCACUUUUGCCAAGGCUGCCAUCUGUGGAGCUGACAUCAUAUAGUCCGAUCAAGGUAUGAUGACACGUGGCUUCUGACCAACAGCAAUGCAAGUGUGAACUUGACUCGUGCGCAUGGAAUUUACCGGUCUUCACGACGUUCCUCAGCACUCUGAAGGAGCCGGCCUGAUAGGAUGAUGGAAUGGGCUUCCAAAGAUUUAGUUUCCACACCAGUUGGGUCGUUAUACCUUGCAAAGGGGAGAUACAAGAAUGUCAGGAUAUGGUAUAGG
rnacentral:lncRNA from 1 species